AGAGUUUGAUCCUGGCUCAGAUUGAACGCUGGCGGCAUGCCUUACACAUGCAAGUCGAACGGCAGCACGGAGCUUGCUCUGGUGGCGAGUGGCGAACGGGUGAGUAAUAUAUCGGAACGUACCCUAGAGUGGGGGAUAACGUAGCGAAAGUUACGCUAAUACCGCAUACGAUCUACGGAUGAAAGUGGGGGAUCGCAAGACCUCAUGCUCAUGGAGCGGCCGAUAUCUGAUUAGCUAGUUGGUAGGGUAAAAGCCUACCAAGGCAUCGAUCAGUAGCUGGUCUGAGAGGACGACCAGCCACACUGGAACUGAGACACGGUCCAGACUCCUACGGGAGGCAGCAGUGGGGAAUUUUGGACAAUGGGCGAAAGCCUGAUCCAGCAAUGCCGCGUGAGUGAAGAAGGCCUUCGGGUUGUAAAGCUCUUUUGUCAGGGAAGAAACGGUUGUCUCUAAUACAGAUGGCUAAUGACGGUACCUGAAGAAUAAGCACCGGCUAACUACGUGCCAGCAGCCGCGGUAAUACGUAGGGUGCAAGCAUUAAUCGGAA
rnacentral:rRNA from 1 species